CAUCGGAUAACCUGUGCUUCUCUGCAUCAGAUCUCGAGUGAGUGAUGUCGUAAAAUCAAAACUUAUCAAGAGUUGAUAAUAUAGGAAUUCAUCCACAAUUUCAACCCCCCUUACUCACCCACCGCAAAUAACUCCAUAGUCACGAAGAGUUCCUCUCUUAAUCGCAAGUCAAGCCAAUCAUAAAUGAAAGUGGAGAUAGGCGAUGGAACUCAAUUUAUAUGAAACAGAUACUUUUGAGGAGGUUAAGAGCAACAAAGACACAGAUGAAGAUGUAAGUAAUCCCUAUAAAACAAACAUGUUUAACAAAUAGUGAUCUGAAUUAUGCCACAUACGUGCAUAAUUCAGAUUUGGCUCUUGACUCAUCAAUAAUUUCUGGUAAGUCUCCUCUCUCUUUUGGUUUUAGUUGGUGGUAACUUGCUCAUCAGGUAAGUUAUCAUCACUGAUGAUUGUGUGAUCCGUGUGCUGGAAUAGAACCUCCUUAUGUAAGGAAUUGGUUCCCGGACUAUGUAUCUCAACUGCACACAAGUGAUGACAGUCAUUGGUCUCCUCCUCGAGACUAUGAAUCUACGGAGGAUAGAGAAUGUAAGAAAGAUAUUUCAAAGGUAUUGUAAUUUUCUGAAUACCACAACUUUUAGAGGUUUUCAAGUACAUCGUCUGUCAAUAAUUUUUUGUGUUAUCGCAUGUUAAGGAUAUAUAUCAGUUUUAUGUUGCUGAUGCAGACCAGAUGGAUGUCGGUUCUCCUUGUCAAUGUGAUGAAGUCAUGGCCUUGAAGAACAGAGUGAAAUACUUGGAAACUGUAGUGGAGAAUUUGCAUGCUCAGAUCAAUCGUUUAGUCCAUUCCACCAAGAAGGCAAGAACAAAAUGUAAUUCAACUAGUUGUUUUUAAUAGUCGUGAUGUUGUGUAGUGACUUAUGAAAGCUUAAGGGUGGAUGUAUUCGAAUGAGAUGCUCACCCGGACUUAUGAAUAUGUGAAAUCUUAAGUGUUUAUGUUCUGGGUUUUCUUAAAAUCCUACUUAAACAUACAUGUAUGUUGGUUAACUUAAGAAUGGAAGGUUCCGAUAUGUAAACUAUCUUUUAAUAAACAAGUUGAGAUUGCAAACGCUUGAUA